GAUGAACGCUGGCGGCGUGCUUAACACAUGCAAGUCGAACGAUGAAGCUCAGCUUGCUGGGUGGAUUAGUGGCGAACGGGUGAGUAACACGUGAGUAACCUGCCCUUAACUCUGGGAUAAGCCUGGGAAACUAGGUCUAAUACCGGAUAGGAGCGCCUACCGCAUGGUGGGUGUUGGAAAGAUUUAUCGGUUUUGGAUGGACUCGCGGCCUAUCAGCUUGUUGGUGAGGUAAUGGCACACGAAGGCGACGACGGGUAGCCGGCCUGAGAGGGUGACCGGCCACACUGGGACUGAGACACGGCGCAGACUCCUACGGGAGGCAGCAGUGGGGAAUAUUGCACAAUGGGCGAAAGCCUGAUGCAGCGACGCCGCGUGAGGGAUGACGGCCUUCGGGUUGUAAACCUCUUUCAGUAGGGAAGAAGCGAAAGUGACGGUACCUGCAGAAGAAGCACCGGCUAACUACGUG
rnacentral:rRNA from 1 species